UUAAAGGGACACUAUAGUCACCAGAACAACUACAGCUUAUUGAAUUUGUUCUGGUGAGUAGAAUCAUUACCUUCAGGCUUUUUGCUGUAAACACUGUCUUUUCAGAGAAAAUGCAGUGUUUACAUUACAGCCUAGUGAUAACUUCACUGGCCACUCCUCAAUGGCUGUUAGAGAUCCUUCCUGGGUCAUGGCUGCCUAAAAUGUAUCCAAACAUUCAGUAUCUCCUGCCUCUGCAUGCAGACACUGAACUUUCCUCAUAGAGAUUCAUUGAUUCAAUUCAUCUCUAUGAGGAGAUGCUGAUUGGCCAGGGCUGUGUUUGAAUCGUGCUGGCUCUGCCC